rnacentral:rRNA from 1 species
UGGGGAAUAUUGCACAAUGGGCGGAAGCCUGAUGCAGCGACGCCGCGUGAGGGAUGACGGCCUUCGGGUUGUAAACCUCUUUCGACAGGGACGAAGCGUGAGUGACGGUACCUGGAGAAGAAGCGCCGGCCAACUACGUGCCAGCAGCCGCGGUAAGACGUAGGGCGCGAGCGUUGUCCGGAUUUAUUGGGCGUAAAGAGCUCGUAGGCGGCUCGUUGCGUCGGCUGUGAAAACCCGCAGCUCAACUGUGGGCUUGCAGCUGAUACGGGCGGGCUGGGAUUCGGUAGGGGAGACUGGAAUUCCUGGUGUAGCGGUGAAAUGCGCAGAUAUCAGGAGGAACACCGGUGGCGAAGGCGGGUCUCUGGGCCGAUAUCGACGCUGAGGAGCGAAAGCGUGGGGAGCGAACAG